UACGGAGGGGGUUAGCGUUGUUCGGAAUUACUGGGCGUAAAGCGCACGUAAGGCGGAUCAGAAAGUUGGGGGUGAAAUCCCGGGGCUCAACCCCGGAACUGCCUCAAAACUCUGGUCUUGAGUUCGAGAGAGGUGAGUGGAAUUCGAGUGUAGAGGUGAAAUUCGUAGAUAUUCGGAGGAACACCAGUGGCGAAGGCGGCUCACUGGCUCGAUACUGACGCUGAGGUGCGAAAGUGUGGGGAGCAAACAGGAUUAGAUACCGGGUAGUCC
rnacentral:rRNA from 1 species